UACGGAGGGGGCGAGCGUUAUUCGGAAUUAUUGGGCGUAAAGGGCGCGUAGGCGGCUCGAUAAGUCAAAGGUGAAAUCCCUCGGCUCAACUGAGGAACUGCCUUUGAAACUGUCGAGCUUGAGUCCGGGAGGGGGUAGCGGAAUUCCCAGUGUAGCGGUGAAAUGCGUAGAUAUUGGGAGGAACACCAGUGGCGAAGGCGGCUACCUGGACCGGAACUGACGCUGAGGCGCGAAAGCGUGGGGAGCAAACAGG
rnacentral:rRNA from 1 species